rnacentral:tRNA from 1 species
UAAGAUGGCUGAAAAAGUAGUGGAAUGUAAUACCACUUAUGGAGGUGAGAAUCCUUUUCUUAC